CUCUUCACAUUCGCGGCGACAUUGCCGGGGUUGUUGCUUCCGGUGAGCUUGUCUCCCAAUCCGCUCAGAGCACUCUUGGCAUCGUCCACAACAUUGGUCGUAUUGCUCUUGGCUUCAUUGAUCACAUCAGAGGCAUCACCCAACUGGAAGGCCUGGUUAGCAGUGCUGGAAGCGUCGCUGAUCUUACCCUUCACUUUGCUGUUACCCUUUCCCAUCAGGUCGCCAAAGUUGGCCUUGGCCUUGUUCAAGUUGUCCCUGGCAUUCUUCACCGCUGCAUCGGC
rnacentral:lncRNA from 1 species